CGGAGGCAACACCAGAAGCAGCGGCGGAGGAGGAAGGAGAAGAAGACGAAGAAGAAGAGGAGAGGACUCCUCGGGAACCAGCAGCCAAGCCCGCCCGCCUCCCCGCCUGCCUUCCUCCCCUUUGUGGCGGCGGCGAGGGAAACAGGAGAAGAAGGAGCCGGAGCCGCCGCCGCCGCCGCCUCCUCCUCCUCCGUUGCUGCUAAUACUACACUCUUCCUACAACCAGGAGCGCUGCGUGCGUGGCGGCGGGAGAGGAAGCGGGAGCGCCGAGGAGGGGAAAGGGGAACGGAGGAUCCAGAGGGAGGAGGGGUUGGCAGCGUCGGCGGCCACUGAGUGUCUCUCUCCGCUUCUGUGCUUCAUUUCUUCUUCGUCGGCGUCGUCUUCGGCCGGGACCCUGCCGUUGGCUUCUUCGUUGGCUGCGUCGUCGCCCCCCGGUUUUUAGCAUCAGGGGAGGGGGAAGAGACCCACUCGCCCGCCCCAAGCCCAGCCCCACUGGCGGUGGCCCAGUGCGGCGGUCGCCCGGCCGGUCUCCCGGGCUGCCUCUUCGGCCCGCUGCCCCCCUCCCUCCGCUUGGAAUAUGGUCGGGGAAAUGGAGACCAAGGAGAAGCCCAAGCCCAGCCCCGAUUACCUGAUGCAGCUGAUGAACGACAAGAAGCUCAUGAGCAGCCUCCCCAACUUCUGCGGGAUAUUCAACCACCUCGAGAGGCUCCUCGACGAAGAAAUUAGCAGAGUACGGAAAGACAUGUAUAACGACACAUUAAAUGGUAGUACGGAGAAGAGAAGUGCAGAGUUACCUGAUGCUGUGGGACCUAUUGUACAGUUACAAGAGAAACUAUAUGUGCCUGUAAAAGAAUAUCCAGAUUUCAACUUUGUUGGAAGAAUCCUUGGGCCCAGAGGGCUAACAGCUAAACAGCUUGAGGCUGAAACAGGAUGCAAGAUAAUGGUCCGAGGCAAAGGCUCCAUGAGAGACAAGAAGAAGGAAGAACAAAAUAGAGGCAAGCCCAAUUGGGAACAUCUGAAUGAAGACUUGCAUGUACUGAUCACUGUGGAAGAUGCUCAAAAUAGAGCAGAAAUCAAACUGAAGAGGGCUGUGGAAGAAGUAAAAAAAUUGUUGGUACCUGCAGCAGAGGGAGAAGAUAGCCUUAAAAAGAUGCAGUUGAUGGAACUUGCAAUUCUCAAUGGCACUUAUAGAGACGCCAAUAUCAAAUCACCAGCCCUUGCCUUUUCUCUUGCAGCAACAGCUCAGGCUCCAAGGAUUAUCACGGGGCCUGCGCCUGUUCUACCGCCAGCUGCCCUGCGUACCCCUACGCCAGCUGGCCCUACCAUAAUGCCUUUGAUCAGACAAAUACAGACCGCUGUCAUGCCAAAUGGAACUCCUCACCCAACUGCUGCAAUAGUUCCCCAAGGACCUGAGGCUGGUUUAAUUUACACACCUUAUGAGUACCCCUACACACUGGCACCUGCUACAUCAAUUCUUGAGUAUCCUAUUGAACCCAGUGGUGUAUUAGGUAUGGCUUUCCCAACGAAAGGCUAAGAAAUUGGAGAAUGGUCUUAUCUGAACUCUCAUCAAAGCUGACUUUAACAAAUGCUUAGUUUUCAACAGCCUUGAAAAAAUGUAGCCUAGCAGUCAGUGACUUACUUGCACUUUUUGCACAUAGAAAUAAAAAUGCUAUUAAUUAGUUAUAUAGCCUGUGCUAUGACAAACUAGUUGUGAUACAUGAGUGUAUGGUAGUAUACUGACUGCUAUGUAUUCUGUACUAUUUGCUUUACUAAUCACCUAAUUCAUUGCAGUUCACAGUUAUUGACUUAGUUUUAAACCAGUCUGUAGGCUUGAGGAAUUGCUUCAAAACCUUUUUAGAGGAUAAAAACUGGAAGUUGUUUUAAACUAGCAAAGAACCUUCAGUAUUAAAAAUGGCAUUAUUUAAGAUAGUCCUGCUGCAAGAAAGGCACUUCAGUGAAUAUGUGACUAGUAAAGCUCAAUUGUAUUGGGGGUCUAAUAGAUUUCAUGAAAUACUGUAAUCAAGUUUGUAACUGAAUUGUUGAUGCAGGUUAAGGCCCAGAUGUUUAAAUUAAAUGCAAUAUUAAUUUGUGCAUAUAUACUCCAUAUAGUAAGGUUAAAAGAUUGAAACUACUGUGCCUUAACUUGUUGCUUUGUUUAAAUGAUUUUUUAAAAGAAGGUGAUCAUUUAAACUCCAUUUUGAUAAGCCUGCUGUUAAUGUUUUUCAAAUGUUUUCUAACUGUCUUGGUAAUUGCAAUUUAACUAGGUGCGGUGGCUACUAAAGUUCGAAGGCACGAUAUGCGUGUCCAUCCUUACCAAAGGAUUGUGACCGCAGACAGAGCCGCCACCGGCAACUAACCUAUGACCUUCUGACCUCUGAACUCUUCACCCAAUGAUGACCUGACCAUGCCUGCCUGCUGAUCAGUUAACUGGUAAUCGCCUUUGCUUGCCUGUCUUCAGUGCAGCGAGCUGAGGCACUUGUCCGUUCGUCUUACCAUCUAACUAAACAAAAACAAAACAAAAAGACAAAGAAUUUGUUGUCCUCCAACUCAGCUUUUUUUCCCUGUUUGGGUGAAAGUGGUUCUAGAACCUGCACUGAAUUGUAGUAAAGCAAUAAGGUCCAAUUCAUCCCUCCGCACUGAUCAUCUUUUAGUGUCCCACCCUAAACGAAUGGUAAGAAGGGCCUCACGUAAGAGACGGAGGCAGAUGUCCCUUAACUCCCUGAUAACAGAGGCAGUUACUGUGAGACUUCUAGGAAUCUUUUUCUUCUCAUAAAGAAGUCAAAGCUCUCUUUGAAUGUACUGUGUGAUGAUGCAUCAUGCAUGAACCUUUGGUCAGGGAUGUCAUUGGUGAAGGGAUUCCUAAAAGUAAUCAAAAUUUGACAUGCAGUUUAGUCACUACCAAUGCCCUCAAAGGGCAGAAGAUGCAGCCUUUUUUAUAUUACCUGCCAAAUUGGGUGUUUUUAAGAGAAAAAAAGUGCCAUGAAAGAUAGGUUACUGAAUUUUUGAACUACAUCAAUGCAUAAACAAAACAGCAACACUAUUCAACCUAAUUCUGAAAUACAGUUCCUUUUACUGUUCAUAAACUUCCUUAAAAGAUUACACAAGUACAAGGUACAUGCAUUAUGUGUCACAUUACUGGGCAAACUGUUCAAAUAUUUUUUUAACCUCCCUGUAUAGAGAAAAUUCAUAAGGAUGUAAAAGCCAUGCUUGCCUAUUUGCUGUAUACAUGUAAUGAAAUUGUAGAUAAAGUGUAGUGCAUUGAAACAAAUUGAAAAAAAAAGUAGAUACUUUUACUAUACAAGGGUGCUGGUGCAGAAAAAAAUAUAUAUUUUUGGAAAUGUAGCAUUUUAUACUUUCAAGUGUUAUAAAAAAGAAAAAAGAACAAAGAAACCCUUUAUUUCAUUAAAUGAUUUUUUCUGGUGGUUGUCGAGAAACAAAAGACCAAAAGAGCCUUUUUGUCUUUAUUUUUUAUUUUUUAAGUAUUGGAAUAAGUAUAAAGAAAAGAAAGUGCCUUAUUUUCUUCAUGAUCAUUUAGUCAGAUGUCUUGUAUAAUCAGCUCCUCCCUCAGACAGCAAGUUAAUGCAUGCCACUCAGUCGCCCAGUAUGUGAAAAGAAGCUGUGAGGAAUGUCAAAUGAGUUGACCUUUUAAAUUACCUGGUUUUUGCCAUAGCAUGAUGCAACUUGGGAAGAUCCUAAACUGUGAAAUAAAAUUGUUCCACCAUCAGCCAACCACACUAUUUUUGUAUCAUGUUCCCCUCUUCAGUUGUAGACAGUAUAUUUUUAUAGUACUUGCUCAGCCUUAAACCAAAGGGUUCUAAGAUGCAGUCUCAUUCUUUACAUUUAAGUAUUAGAUUUUAGUAUUUAUACAGUAGCAAGUGUUUUAUUUCCCUCCCCCUCUCAUAAGGGUGGGUUGUAUUUGUGUCUGUUUGAAGUAGAUGCAGGGACAUACAACACAACUUAAACUUGCUACAAGAUGAUUUUGUUCACAACUAAAGUCAGCGCUCAGACAGCCAAUUUUUUAGCACAUUUAUAAGUUUCUAUAUGUUUCAUCUGUUGUGCUGAAUAAGGUAUGCAGUGCAUAUUUCUCAUCAAACCCAUACUUGAUGAAUGUUAACUGCUGGUUGUGCAUUACUAAAAAGGAAGAAGUAUUAAUUAUCUUCAGAGUCCAACUGUGUUUCAUUUUGACUUAGAAAAGGUUUACAUAGCUGGGCUACUGAUGAUAAACACUUUACGCACAAAGGUGAGGUAUGAAAAUAAUGAGCAAGUAGUCAAAUGCUAAUGGGUGUGAACCAGAUUUGGCAAAGAUCAGGUGAUAAUUUGCCCCCUCCAUUGUGUCAACUUAUUCUCCUAAAAACCUUCACAGCUUCCAAAGCAAAGGUCAAUAGUAAGUUAGGUAAGAGGGCUUCUUUUUAAAGCACCUGCAUGGUGACUUUGUCAACAUUGUCUCACCUGGAAACAAGUAUCAGUUUAUUUACUAUGCAAUAAACAUUCAUCCUUUUGUAUUCAGCUAGCUUUUCUUUUAUCCUGCCACUGGCUUUGUCUUCCUGUUACACAUGAUUUUUUGUUUGUUUGUUUUUGGUUUGACUUUCAGUAUAUGCUGUGCCAUUUUGAUUUUUGUUUGGUUGAUUAAAAUUGCGACACUCAAAAUAUUUUGGAGAGAGAAUUGCUAAAACAUUACCAGUAUUUGAUCCAGUUUCAUCUCAACUAUGAUAAACCUGGACAUUUUUAGAUCUGAUCAAAGGUCUCUUCUUGGGAGAAGUGUGACUUGUAAAAGUAAUGUUUGCUCUGAAAAAAGUUUGAAGACUUAGUUGACAACAUUUUGGAUCAACUUAAAAGCAUGACUUUUGAAAUCUCUGAAUGCCUUGGUUCUCAGUAUUAUCAUUCUUUAUUGAAUUUUUCUUCAUUAAAAUAUGUAGUUUAAGUCUUUUUUCUGACAGUAUUAUGUAAUUUUUUUAGAGUGGGUAUAUGGGAGUGUCGCUUGUAUGUAACCGUACAGAUGACAUGUAUUUGUCUAUUCCUUUAUCUUAGUUUGAUGCUAUGUAUGUACCAUAACCAACCUAUUGCCUAUGAGAAACAUGUAAGAUAAUGUAUUUACAGCCAUUGUUACAAGUUUAUAAUGUAUUUUUCUAUCUUGUUUUAUAUGUAUGUUAUAUAACAUUCAGAAGAAUUUUUUUCCUGAUUGAGAAAAGGAUACAAAAAUGCAAAACCCACAAUUUUGAUAACUGAGAAUUGCCAAUUGUUUUGCAGUACUUUAUUAUUAUAUUGGGAGUGUUGUCUUUCUUGGGCUUUUAGUUAGCUACUGAAUUGAAUACAUUAGACAUAUUUGGAUUUUAGUUGGGUUUUUACAUAGCUUGCAUUUUAAUUCUUUGGUUCUUUGCUGUUUCUAUUAACCCAUAGCAUUAUUUUAAUAAAUGUUAUAAUACCAACCUACUAACUAUGGACUAUGUCAGUUUAUUAACCAUUACAUGUUUAAUUAAAAGAAACAAGGAAAGACAGAAGAAUGUAAAGUCUUGAGUACUUGGACUAACACUGAAGAACGUGACCACAGAUAACACAGCGUGACUUGUUUUAUGUUGUUUGUUUGGCUGACAUUCUGCACACUACUAUUAAACUGGCUUUGGUCAUUCUGGCCUCUCAUGUCGUGGGUAUAUGCCAGUAGAGUUGGGAACAAGUAGAACUAUUGGAGGCAUUCUUCUUUUAGUGUCUUGCCACUUGCCUUUCAGCGACUGCAUUACUAAUUCCACAUUUUCUUCUCUGAAAUAAUCUCUGUCAGCUCACAGCAAAAGGGCAAAGAUACCAGUAUACUGGUAAAUCAUGUGGAGUGCCCAGAAAAACCAGUUUGAUUCUUUGUUGAGCCAUUUUGAAGUUAACCAAUUUAUAUAAUUUGAAAUGUUCUGAAUAAAGGGACAUUUUGCCAUGCUAGUAUGUAACAGCCCCUGUAUGCUACAUACUUCUGAUUGUACCUUAAACCAAAAUAUCAUUAACUUAGCAAUAGUGUUUCCUCAGUACAUAACCUUAAAUUAUUUUCAUUGUAUUUCUAAAGAUAUUCAAGUUGCAGUCCUUAAAGUACAUUAAACUCAGGUACUUGCACUGACUUUAAGCAGAUUGCUAGGAUCUACUGUAAUGUUUCAACACCAUGUUGCUCAGAGGAAUCCAAAACUGUAUAAACUCAAAAGGGAUCAUUUUUAACAAUUGUAAAAAGUACAUCAGCUCUCAAGUAUCCUAAAAUUAUUUGAUAAGCUUAUCCUCAUGGGUGACUGUAACUGCCAAGCACAGCAGUUUAUACUGUAGUAAAUUUCUAUAAACUUUGUUUUAUAAGAAAACAUAUGUUAAAACAUGUUUCUGUAGCCUAUUCAUCUAUUUCCAAUUAGCACUGUGUUGUACAUUUAUGACAGAGCUUUAUCAAUCAAGAUGAACGUUUGUUUGAAUUCUACUCCUUUCCAUUACAGAAGACGAAGAAGCCAGGACAUUAUAUUUUAAGAAUGAAAAAAUAUUGUGGAUAUAUUAUAUACAGUAACUGAACAUAGAAGGUUCCCACCCACCCCUUUUACUUUGCUUUUUUAUUUUACUUUUAAAAAGUGUGUUCCCUAAACUCUCCAUUUCGGUUUUCUCCCCACAAAUUGACAUUUUGGUCCCUCUGCAGGUUUAUUGUUGUGUGCCUUCAAGUUGUUUGCAACUUAAAGUGAGCGUAAGGCUAACCUAUCAUGAGGUUUUCUUGGUAGGCUUUGGUCAGAAGGGGUUACAUUUGCCUCCUGAGGAUGGGAGAGUGUGACUUGUCCAAUGUCACCCACUGGGUUUCCAUGACCCAGCAGAUAUUCAAACCCUGGUCUCUAGAGUUGUAGUCUAAUACUCAAACCACUACAGCAUGCUGGCUCCUCCGGGGGUAUGGGGAGGUAAUUUUGCCAUUCACUUGUUUUAGGCCUAGAAGAAUACAUUACUCACUCUUUCUGUAAAAUAUGUGUUUAAUUUUUUUGUUUUUUAUUUAUACCACAUAAACACAAAUGUAAAAUUCACCGUCUAUCAGGUGUAUGGGCUAGGGAAAAAGUUAUACAUUAUAUCUAUACACUCAGGUUCUUUACCAACUAUAGAUAACAUAACAAAAAUUACUGAAAUACCAAGUUCAGGCAUACUUGAGCUUUCAGAUGAUCCCUAAUAUUAUCAACGAGCCCCCUUAAAUUUUGCUUAAUUGCAGUCAACAUAGAAUGUGAGUAGUUUUUAUAGCUGCAAUUUCUGAUUUACUUUAGUAUUGUUAAUACAUUAUAGUCAAGAAGCUUUUCAAGUGAAUGAAUGUUAAAAAAAGUUUCAGUAUGUCUAAAGUCCAAAAAUGUAUAUACAUUUGACAUGGUGACCACCACUGAUGUAAUUUUAUAGGAUAUUGUUAGGACUUUUCAGUAGUCACCUGUUUCUUAACAAAGAUCAAGAAACCAAAACUUGCUGUGAACUAGCACAUAGCACUUAGGUGUACAAAGAGGAAGAGGCAUAUUUGAUUUCAAGAGCAGCAGUUUGUGCCUAAUGGGGUGCCAGUUGGUAGGCCCUUCUAAUUUGGAAAGACCUGUCCUGCAGACCAGGAGAAAAGCUCCAGGACAGCACUCCACUCAUUAUUUAAGAUCCCAUCUGUGUAGAUUCUUAAGCUGGUACCUUAGCAACAUAUUUAAUGUAAGAUGGUAGUUGAGUUGAAAGUUUCAUAUGAAGACGGGAUUCAGUCUUUUGUCCACGAUCAGGAAGCAAGCCCAACUGAAUAUGUGUAAAACUGUAGUUUUUGUUACAUUUUUAAGAACGUUGAUUCAGUUUAGAAGCCUAUUUCUCUCCUUUUGGAGAGAAAACUGUUUCUUUUCAUCUUGGUUUAAAACUAUUUUUGACUAUUUAUGAACAUUGUAACCAAUAUGUUACAAAACAAUAAUAAAAUAAAACUAUUAAAAGAAAUAACUGAUCAAGGCACCAUGUAUCAAAACAAAGAUGGAUGGUUAGCUCUUCGAUUCAUAAAAGCUGGUUUCUAAUGGAGGCUUUUUGGUGUAGUAAGGUAAACAAUUUAUUCCCUCUUGCCCUGCAGUUCCAGUUAAUGACAUUCACAGUCUUCUCAGGAAAAAGUGUGGAAAGUAGUACUGGGACUGCAGGCAGAAGGGAAAACGUGCUACAAUUUCUGCCCUGACCCCUUCCUCCCAAACCACCUCACCUAACCGGUAAGGCUUAGCAACCUUGGUAGAAAAUCUCAUUUACCCUGAUAGAAAUUAUUUUCAAAUGUAAAACUUGAAAGUCUAUAAAUCUUUUUUCCAAAAUAAAAAAGUUAAUUAUAUUUGAGCUAUGAUUUUCUAGUUAAAAUGGAUUGUAUAAUAAUGUAGUUUACCGUAAUGUAGUAAAAUUUAAACACCAGAUCUUUAAGUGAAGCAGUAGCCACUCUUUUUAAAAAUAACAACCAUAUAUCUAUUUUCAGAUGACAAUGUUCAAUGUAUGGGUGGGAGGUGGGGAGAGGAACCUCUGAAGUAAUUUCUGUUGGGAAUACAAAUAUAAAGUCAUUUAGUGAAAACAUGAUGCAGGCAUGCGGUGGUUUAGUAGUUAGGACACCAAUUCUGAUGGUCAGAGGGUUGGUAGUUCAAGGCCCUAUUGAUGGUGUGAACUCCUGUCACUAGUCCCAGCUUCUGCCAACAUAGCAGUUCGAAAGCAUGCAAAUACAUGUAGAUAAAUAGGUACCACUUCUCAUUGGGAAGGUACAGCAUUCAGUGCACUCAUGGUGGCCAUAAGACCACCAGAGCAGUCCUUGGACAGUUCUGGCUCUUUGGCUUAGUAAUGAUGAUGAGCACCACCCCCUACAGUUGGACAUAACUAGAAAUUCAUGUCAAAGGACUACCCUUACCUUUACCUUUAGUGAAAACAUGCCAGUUACUUGCUACUCCAUGUGCAUAUUGACACAGGUUUCUAAAAUAAUAAACUGCAUAGGAUAAAGAUAGGUCCCCAGUUUAAAAAUAAAUUUGGGAUACAUAUUAUAUAUUCUACUUGGGUUCUUUUAUAUAGAAUAUGUACAGAGUUGUCAGUACAAUGUUUUAUGUAAUAAUCAAUGUUGAAUCAAACUGGUUACAGAAGAACAGUGCUUCUAGUUCUUUUUACACUGCCAGCUCACUAACUCCAGGUGUAAAAAUCCUACCUUGAAAUGGUUGUUUGAGAAGCAGAAGAUGUUUUAUUUGUGGUAAUCACUAUUUGAUGCCAGUUAUGUUGGUGGUUGACUACUAGAAAUUAUCAAAAAUUAUUUCCAGCACAGAGCUUUGCUUCUUGGAGAACUAAUAAUUAGUGAAGACAUUUUUAAAAAGAUAUAUACAUAUCCUUUUGGGUUGUAUUGUGCAAAAAUGUUUGAAUCAUUUUUCUCUGUUUGUGCAACACUGUGUAUAUUAGGAAAAAUGAGUGUUGCCCAGACAUGUAAAUAAAAAAAAAUCACACCUGUAAAUUAUGUGCAAUAAAAACUGGAAGAAUUACAUGUGUUUUAUCCUCGAAAGCCAAGUGACAGCUUAAAGGGCUGCCAUUACUUUUAUAUUUAAAAAAGUCAAAUUUUAUUCUGUAUCUAAAUGUAUGGCAGAAUAAAGAAUGUACAUUUCACACUCUUUAACUGUCAUUAAUGAUUUUAUAAACUUGAAGGGUUCUAAAUUUCUGUAUCUAGUCAUUUAAUCCACUUUCAUUUAGUAUGUCUGUUCAAAGGCAUAUGUCAGAAUUGAGAAAACAGAAACGUGUAUAUGAACAAAAAAGAGUUGAUUUAGAAAUACUGCUGAAAAUUAAAAUAAGAAAAGAUGUGUGAGGCCCAGCAUCAAGGAGAAUACUUGUGUUUUUACAUAUUGGGCAGGAUAAAUUAGUGUACUUACUUUGUAGGCCACUAAACCAUCAUACUGAAUGCUACUUACUAAAAGUACCAAAAACUCCACAAUUCCCUCACUCUAUGACAUACAAUAUGACAGAUUUUCUUAUUUUCUUGGCAGUGAAACUGAUGUAUGUGUGUAUACACCCAUGCACAGCAGAAUAUACUUGAACCUCUUUCAGCCUCAAGAUGACAUUCUUAAAAUGAAUUAUUGGCUUUUUAUAUCCUUAGUUACUUGUGUUUCCUUUACUUGUUUGCGUUUCCUUUACUGUACACCUUGUUUUCCUAGGUUCUACUCUCCAGAUUUGCAUUAUUUCUCUGAUGUCCUCUCGUGCUCUAUUGCUUGGUUGCUUAUUUCUAACUGACACUAUUUUAGUAUUCUCAAACCCAUUCAUUUUCUGAGUCUUGCUCUGUACCUUUUCCCUUGCCAUAGAUAUUUUAUCAACUGCCAAUGUGAUUAGUUAACAUUAACUGGAAUCAGUUCUGCUCUCUGUGAUAGUGCCCUGAAUGCCUGGUAGCUUGCUAGACAUUGCCCACUUGCAAUAAGCUGCAUCCCUGAAACAAUAAAGGGAUGCAGAGGCAAACAAUCCCAUAGGGAUCUUCAAACUCCCUGUGACCACCUCAAGUGUAUAACCUUUAGCAAAUGUGUCAGAGAAAAUCUAUUAUCCCAAUAAGUUCAGUCAUUGCAGUGCAUAUAUUAACCACUGUAUUUUCCUGUUCAUGCUUAUUUUGGCCAACUUUCUGUUCCCACAGCCUUAUCUAAGCAUCUUAGAUCAUGCACUGGGCCAGAACUGGUUUAGCUGGUUGUUAUUUUCUUCAGUCUGUCCAAUCUGUCCUGCCCAUCAUAAUACUGGGUCAUAAGUUUUGAUAAUUUAAAGAAUUACGUUUUUAUUCAUUUCUGAAUCUUGAUUUGUUGAGCUGCUGAUUUUAUAAUAUAUUUGGUAUGGACACUUAAUGAGUCUGCUUUUAUUGUACGUGAGCAGUGUCAGCAGUUAUGUGCACUGAGUAUAUCAACCAAUGACUUGAUAAUACACAUGCAAUCCAAACACCGAAAAAAUAGGGAUAAAUGCAGUGUUCUCUGUAAUCAUAAGUAAUACCAUGUUACAAAAACUUUUUAAGUUUUACCUUUGCUACAAUAAAAUUAGAACGUACGUACGUGUGUGUGUGUGUGUGUGUGUGUGUGUGUGACAGCAGGCCUUGCCUGAUCAAGGCACCAUAUAUUACUUGCAAUAUAGAUAAUAAAAUAAUUGGUUGCUGUUAUUUUGUUGUUCUUUCUGGCUUACAGCAACCCUAAUGCAACCAAUAAUAAUAAUAAUAAUAAUAAUAAUAAUAAUAAUAAUAAUAAUAUUUUCUUGGAAAGACGGUGUUCAGCUGGGGGUUGCCUUUGAUUUCCUCUGAGGCUGAGGGAGUGUGAUUUGCCCAAGGUCACCCAAUAGGAUUUGAACCCUGGUCUCCAAAUUCAUAUUUCAACACUCAAACCACUCCACUACAGUAAAGUGAUACAGAGUCAAAAUCAGUUCAUGGCUUCUUGAUUUGAAUUUAGCAUUCUGAUUUCCAAUGGCUUCUCCUACUGGGCUGUAAUGUGAUACUGAGAGCGUGGUGGUGAGCUAAGUGUCAGAUAAAAUUGUGGCUUCUUUCCCCUUGCUCUUUUAAGACCACAAAUGGUGAAGCAUUGAAAUUCUGUCUCCACCACACACACCUGCAUGCCUUCCUAUAACACUAGGUAACAUGGUUAUAGCAAAUGGAUGUUAGGGGUCCUUUGCCCUCUCUGAAACAGUUCUGUGGUGGAUAUUUGGAAAGGAAUGGUUUGUGAAACAUCCAUAGCAGCGAGUUUGUAUAGCCUAUUGUGAACUAUUAAAUUAGUUUAGAUUCUGUGACUAGAAGACAAAUAAUAGAAUUUUGCUCCCAAUUCAGCUGAAUCCUAUAUUCUGAACUGGGUCAAUUUCUAUCAGUGUCAGAUCAAAUCAGAUUGGCCCAAUUUGGCUUCAGAGCAGAACAGCAUAAUGUGAAAUCAUCUGGGUCUCUCCAUACAUCAACAGAUUAAAAAUAAGUGGGGAAAAGCCACAGUAAAUCUCUAAAGUGACUGUAUAAGGAAAGCACCAAGUGAUAUGAUGUGGAGGGGACAAGAAUGGGACUUUUUUAUUAACAGAUCUAACAAUACAGUCUGGAACAAGAAUUUCACCAACAUUCCCCAAUCACGGUGGUUAUAGAGGGGGGUUUUGUCAGAUUAUCCAAGUUAUCUAAAGUAUCUCCUGCAUCUUUUUGUUAAAUUUAGAUGUUAGUAGCAGAAUAUUGAAAGAGGGUUUAGAGUUGACAGUUAAUUGCUUUUCAAGUUUGGUCUCACAGUUGUCUUUUUUUUUAAUUUUUCAACUUUUAGUCUUGCUUAAUCCUCUAUUUGGCUUCCUUGGUAAUUUGUAUAGUAAUCUGUUCAUGACUGUAUUAUAUUACAGUUAAUGGAAUUUAUCCCUCCCAAAGUGGUCUCUAGUUGUUAUGAUGUGUCAGAUUUCCUUUCUCAGUGUGACUCAUUUACACUCCCCCCUGCAAAAAUGAAUAAAUAAAUAAAUAAAAAUCCUUUUAUCUUA